rnacentral:tRNA from 1 species
UCCCUGGCAGCUUAAACAGUAGAGCAUCUGCCUGCAGUGCAGGAGGCCCGGGUUCCAUCCCUGGAUUGGGAA